AUGCUCCCUGCUUUCGAAGCAAGCUGUCCCCAAAGGAGUUAAGCGAUUGUGUUUGUAUCUGGAUUGUUCUGAAUUUCAUGUUCUAAUGUAAGAUGUCAAUUCCGUGGUGAGCCUGCUAGGCUGGCUGGCAGCACCCAGCCUGGCACUGGAUGCCAUCACAGCUCUGCCCGCUUCAUUUCAGCUCCCCCGAUGUCUGACCUGGAAUUUGGUGGCAUGUCCAUAAAGGAGGUGGAAAUGGAUGGCAAGUACAAACCGCCGCAGCCCCACUGGUACGAGCUGUAUGCCCAGCCCUGCGUGGCCGAGCUCCUGGGGUCGGCAUUGUUCAUCUUCAUCGGGUGCGCGUCAGUGAUUGAGAAUGUGGAUGGCACGGGGAGGCUGCAGCCCGCCCUGGCACAUGGGUUGGCUCUUGGGCUCAUCAUCGCCAUUUUGGGAAACAUCAGCGGUGGCCAUUUUAACCCAGCUGUCUCCUUGGCCGCAUGGCUGAUCGGUGGGCUGAACAUCAUGCUGCUUAUCCCUUACUGGCUCUCCCAGCUGUGUGGGGGGCUGAUCGGAGCUGGCCUGGCAAAGAGGCGCUAUAUCUGGGGCUUGCAUGAAUCCUGCCAGAGCUUUUGGACCAGCACUUGUAGCAAACUACUGGGACUAUCACUGGGUUUACUGGGUAGGGCCCAUGGUAGCCAGCCUGCUAGCUGGUGCACUGAUAAGGCUCCUGAUUGGCGACAGGAAAAUCCGCCUGCUCCUGAAGUGAGCCCUGGAUUGGGCCUGCCUGCGGGACACAAUCACUUAUGGAUAGGAAAUUGGCUCUACUUGGCCCUCGGGAGAAACUCUGCUUCACCACACACCAGUGCCUCUGUUCUCACUGUCUGGCCACGUGGAGCUGCUCUGAGAUCCCAGCUUUCCAGUCUGUUUCCCCCAGAGAGCAGGUGUUGGCAGGAUGAGCCCACUUGAAGCUACAGAUUCUGUAAAAAAACAAACCAAUCCAAACCAAAAAAAUCGAUUGUGUUGAGAUUAAAGAAAAGGCCUGGCUGGCUGGGUAGGAGCGCUAGAAGCGUUGGCCUUUCCUCUCUGGGCUGGGGCAGUGCCUCUUGCUACUGCACAAACGGCAGCCAGAAGCCAGAACAGUUGUCCUGGGGGUUAAUAUCCCGAAUGGAGAUAAGCUAAAAUGGGCAGGAGGGUCUGACGGGCAGUGAUGAAGCAGGGCUGGCCUGGUUUACACAGCGUUCCUGCUGGCAUGACGGAGUGCGGCUGCAGCACCUCGAUGAUGCCAAUGCACUUGCUGCUCCAGUCGCUGGGGAAAUUUGCUUCCUUUACUGUUCUGUUCUGGAGAUGGGAGCGCCCAUUCCUGUGUUCCCCUGGCCGCACCGCGUUCCCGGCGCAACACACGUGGUGCUUCUGGAGAAAGCACUUUAUCAUUGUGUCCCAUGGCCCCAUCCCCUGUGCUGGCUCUCCAGCAAUCUCUUCUGCUCCCCAGGGCUGGCUGACAUCUCCGCUGGUUGCCAGACGCUGUAGUGAGGAGCCUGCUCUAAUCCUAAUAAGGACCAUCCUCUCCUUCUCCCUUGCCCUCCACGAACCUCAGCGGCGCUAUAGCCCGUUGCCCUUUCCCCAGAAUGGAUAUUUCCUUUUAAGGCACAUUGCUGUCCCAGUCUGCUCCGCUGCAGGAUCCUGUGCCUGAAGCCAGCUCUGACCUGAUCUGUCCUUCCAAAGACAGAACUCUCCCCUGUGCCCCAUGACAGCUGCAGACCCUGUAGCAAGCUGAAGGAAUUGCUCUGCAGCAAUUGGCCAGUAGAGGAUGCUCAAGCAAAAAAAUGAUGUUGGAUUAGACCAUGUCUGUGCACACAUGUCCCUUAGCUGGCUUUGGUUUAUAGACCAUUAUAGUGGCUGUCACUGUAAAUGUACAUAACCAUUUACAGUAGCUGGGUAGCAGGUCACUAGUCGUCUUCUCCAGAAGCCUCUCAACACUACACGAAGCAAGGGAAGAGGAAACUGUGAAGGGGACGUGGUAUGAAGCUCACAGACUGCAGAGCGACUGGGGAAAGGGCACUUUAGUGCAGGAGAGCCUGAAUGUUGGUGCUCCAGGGGCCAUGCGAGCACCCCGCUGAGGUUGCACAAUUCAUAGAGACUGAAAUCAGAACCGAUCCUAGUGCAUUAGAUGGGGCCUUUCCACCGGAGGCAAGAGAGUGUUGCCCGCAGAGCCGGGAACACCGCGUUCUAACUUAUCUAGGUAUUUAGUAGCUGUGUCCUCAAACAGCUCUGCCACUGACUCAUUUUGUGUCCUCAGGAAGUCAUGUCACCUCUCUCCACAUGCCGCCCUACUUCAUGGGGUGUUGUGGUGCUUGAUUAGAUAAGAAAACGUUCCAGGCUAUAGAAAUGCCCUGUGUGAUUACAGAUAAUUGUAGGCAGAGCUGAUAGUGCCACCUAUGCUUAAAGCUGUUUGACACUUCCCAUUA